AGAGUUUGAUCAUGGCUCAGAAUCAACGCUGGCGGCGCGCUUAACACAUGCAAGUCGAGCGAGAAAGGGAGCAAUCCUGAGUACAGCGGCGUACGGGUGAGUAACACGUGGAUGAUCUACCUUUUAGUGGGGGAUAACCCUGGGAAACUAGGGCUAAUACCGCAUAAGCCUGAGAAGGGAAAGCAGGAAUGCGCUGGAAGAGGAGUCCGCGGCCGAUUAGCUAGUUGGUGGGGUAAGAGCUCACCAAGGCGACGAUCGGUAGCCGGCCUGAGAGGGCACACGGCCACACUGGCACUGAAACACGGGCCAGACUCCUACGGGAGGCAGCAGUGGGGAAUCUUGCACAAUGGAGGCAACUCUGAUGCAGCGACGCCGCGUGAGCGAUGAAGCCCUUCGGGGUGUAAAGCUCUUUCGGCAGGAACGAUAAUGACGGUACCUGAAGAAGAAGCUGCGGCUAACUACGUGCCAGCAGCCGCGGUAAUACGUAGGCAGCGAGCGUUGUUCGGAAUUACUGGGCGUAAAGAGUGUGUAGGCGGUGCUCUAAGUUCGGUGUGAAAUCUCCUGGCUUAACUGGGAGGGUGCGCCGGAAACUGGAGUGCUUGAGCGUGGGAGAGGAAAGCGGAAUUCCUGGUGUAGCGGUGAAAUGCGUAGAUAUCAGGAGGAACACCUGCGGUGUAGACGGCUUUCUGGACCAUAGCUGACGCUGAGACACGAAAGCGUGGGUAGCAAACAGGAUUAGAUACCCCGGUAGUCC
rnacentral:rRNA from 1 species